UACGUAGGUGGCAAGCGUUGUCCGGAUUUACUGGGUGUAAAGGGCGUGUAGCCGGGCUGACAAGUCAGAUGUGAAAUCCGGGGGCUCAACCCCCGAACUGCAUUUGAAACUGUUGGUCUUGAGUAUCGGAGAGGCAGGCGGAAUUCCUAGUGUAGCGGUGAAAUGCGUAGAUAUUAGGAGGAACACCAGUGGCGAAGGCGGCCCGCUGGACGACAACUGACGGUGAGGCGCGAAAGCGUGGGGAGCAAACAGG
rnacentral:rRNA from 1 species